rnacentral:rRNA from 1 species
GGAUUAGAUACCCUAUUAUUAAUGAUGUGAAUUAUUUAACUUGAGUAGUAUUAGUUAUGGUCUUGAAACUUAAAGAAUUUGGCGGUAUUUUAGUCUUUUCAGAGGAAUCUGUCUCGUAAUUGAUAAUCCGCGUUGGACCUUACUUAUCUUAUGUUGUUUGUAUAUCGCCGUUAUUGAAAAUUUUUUUAGAAUUAAUUUUUUAGAUAUUUUUGGAUAGUAUUUCAGGUCAAGGUGCAGCUUAUGGUUAAGUGUAGAUGGAUUACAAUAUUUUUUUAUAUACGAAUUGUCAUUUGUAAUUUUGAUAUGAAGGUGGAUUUGAUAGUAAUUUUAUGUAUUUUGUUAGUUUGAUUUUAGCUCUGGAAUAUGUACAUAUCGCCCGUCGCUCUCGUUAUUUUAAGGUGAGAUAAGUC